UACGGGGGAGCAAGCGUUGUUCGGAUUUACUGGGCGUAAAGGGCGCGUAGGCGGCCACCGCAAGUCGACUGUGAAAUCUCCGGGCUUAACCCGGAAAGGUCAGCCGAUACUGCGGGGCUAGAGUGCAGAAGGGGCAACUGGAAUUCUCGGUGUAGCGGUGAAAUGCGUAGAUAUCGGAAGGAACAUCAGUGGCGAAAGCGACUUCCUGGACCAAUACUGACGCUCAUGUGCGAAAGCGUGGGGAGCAAACAGGG
rnacentral:rRNA from 1 species